GACGAACGCUGGCGGCGUGCUUAACACAUGCAAGUCGAACGGAAAGCCCCUUCGGGGUACUCGAGUGGCGAACGGGUGAGUAACACGUGGGUGAUCUGCCCUGCACUUUGGGAUAAGCCUGGGAAACUGGGUCUAAUACCGAAUAUGACCGCGCUCUUCAUGGGGUGUGGUGGAAAGCUUUUGCGGUGUGGGAUGGGCCCGCGGCCUAUCAGCUUGUUGGUGGGGUAAUGGCCUACCAAGGCGACGACGGGUAGCCGGCCUGAGAGGGUGACCGGCCACACUGGGACUGAGAUACGGCCCAGACUCCUACGGGAGGCAGCAGUGGGGAAUAUUGCACAAUGGGCGCAAGCCUGAUGCAGCGACGCCGCGUGAGGGAUGACGGCCUUCGGGUUGUAAACCUCUUUCAGCAUCGACGAAGCGAAAGUGACGGUAGGUGCAGAAGAAGGACCGGCCAACUACGUGCCAGCCGCCGCAGUAA
rnacentral:rRNA from 1 species